rnacentral:rRNA from 1 species
GUCUCAGUUCGGAUUGGAGUCUGCAACCCGACUCCAUGAAGCUGGAUUCGCUAGUAAUCGCGCAUCAGCCACGGCGCGGUGAAUACGUUCCCGGGCCUUGUACACACCGCCCGUCAAGCCAUGGAAGCCGGGAGUGCCUGAAGUGCGUGACCGCAAGGAGCGUCCUAAGGCAAUACCGGUGACUGGGGCUAAGUCGUAACAAGGUACC